ACCCAGCCUUUAAUUCCUUUCUGAGAUAUUCUCCUCCUCUUCUUCUCUACAGCAUUAUGUGGCACUGUUCUGGCUGGCAAAAACACUAUUCUGAAAAUCAUCUGGGACAGAUGUGAGAAACAGGUUUUUAUCAGAGUUCAGAGAAGGACAGAAGAUUUCUUCGAGAAAUUUAUCCAUGGUUCAAUCACCCAAGGAAAAAUGGUCCUUACUGAUGCUGAAGAAUAACGAAACCUGAAUAUUUUCAAAAACCAAACUUUGGAGCUGAAGGUACCACCAUUUCAACAGCUGAGGUCCCACCAUUUCAACAGCUGAUCUCUGAGCAUGUCUGAAGAAUUCAAGAAAACUGUUCCAAAAAGGGAGGUAAGUACAAAAUCUGUCAUGGGUUACAAUUUAUUUGUAUGAAACAGCACUAUGAGAGGCUCUAAUA
rnacentral:lncRNA from 1 species